rnacentral:rRNA from 1 species
UACGUAGGGGGCGAGCGUUGUCCGGAUUUAUUGGGCGUAAAGAGCUCGUAGGUGGUUCGAUAAGUCGGGUGUGAAAACUCUGGGCUUAACUCAGAGACGCCACCCGAUACUGUCGUGACUUGAGUCUGGUAGGGGAGUGUGGAAUUCCCAGUGUAGCGGUGAAAUGCGCAGAUAUUGGGAGGAACACCAGUGGCGAAGGCGGCACUCUGGGCCAGUACUGACACUGAGGAGCGAAAGCGUGGGUAGCGAACAGG